UUUAAAGCAAGGAUAUGCUAUUGCAAAACUCAAAACCUAAAGAUGGAACUAGUAAAGUGGAAGUUGUAGAUUUACCAGUGUUCGGAUUGGAAAAGUUGGCAAUCGCGACAGACAAUUUUCAGGAAAUUAACAAGCUUGAGCAAGGUGGUUUUGGCACAUUAUACAAGGGAAAAUUAGAAGAUGGACUGCAUGGACAGAGAAAAUAGGUUACCAAAACUGAGACCAGCUCAACAUAUAGCUUCCCAAGGCAAGAAGGAUGUUACUAUUCAAACUUCACAGGCUGGAUCAGAAAUGCAAAAUUAGGUUGAAGCCGCUACACAUCAGUUUUAGAUAUUUGGUGCAAAUUUUCAUAUUUUUUGUUCAAGAACAAGGAAUAUUUAGAUUUAACUCUUAGUAUAGAACAAGUUAUUUGAUCUUAUUAGUUUGGUUGUUUUGACUCAUUGAAAUUGUUUAUUAAUUAUAAUACAUAUUUUGUGAUUGAUUACGUUUAAUCUAAAUUUAGUGUAUUAUUCUGUAUACUUUUUAUGAUUUUGAAUAAAUUGCAGGUUAUAAAUAUUUUUCAUAUUAACGACAAAAUAUAUUUAUUUUAUAUA